rnacentral:misc_RNA from 1 species
AACAAAAUUGGUUUCUUAUCCGUUGAAAAAUAAACAAAUUUUGUUUUUAAGAUAAAAGUUAGGAUAAGGAAUAUGAACGGCCAAGACAGGAGCAAUGACUAAGUUUCAAUCGCAAUUGCCAUUUGGGUCUUGCUGUGGUACCAUUGAACCUCAAUUCAAAAUUUGUUGGCGAUACAUUUUAGACAAACAAACAAAAAGUAGAUCUAUUAAAGUGUCGAUUGCAAUUGUUAAUGCUAAAAAUACGAUGCCAAUCACAUUUGGUAAAGAAAACAACGACAAUUGGAAGUGCGUCAAAUGGGAAACGGAACUGACGAACAGUGUGGACCAGCCUCCAGCUCCAAAAAAUGAGAAAUUCCAGCUGAUCCGUUCCUUGUCGUCGGUUUUUCAUUUUAAUUUGUUAUGCAGGUACGAGCAAAUCAUCAACGCGAAUGAAGCUCAGACUGUAGCUCAGACUGUCUUCAGAAAAGGUUAUUUCGUUCAACGAAAAUACGAGAUUGAGCUAUGCUUGCUGCAAGUCGAUAAUAGCAAUAACAGCGAUCCGACCAGAAGUGAUGCUCAAACUAUUCCAGAUUAUUAUCGCCAACCCUGCGCUGUCUACGUGACCACCAGCGAAAAUGGAAAAUAUGACUUGAAGAAGCUAACUGAUUCGUCAAAUGUUUGGAAGUCUGCAAAAUUUACAAUCAACCUUAGAACUGACCAGUCUAAUCCGAUGUUUACCUUUGAGCUUUGUAUCACCUUUAACACUCUUGGAUUCAACGAGAUAAAAGCCUUGAAGGUGUUGACGGAUUACUUUUUUUUCCAGCAAGCCAACUGCGACGUUCAGUUCUGCUUCCAAGAUGGCAAGCACAUUGCCGGCCACAUGAACAUCCUAUCGGCCAGGAGUCCUGUAUUCGCCGCAAUGUUUAGCCACGAAAUGAAAGAGGCAAGAACGGGCCAAGUUGCCAUUCAAGAUAUUCGGCCAGAGAUUUUCAAAGAACUUCUCCAUUUUAUUUACUUGGGUCGCACAUGUGAACCCCUGAAUAAUGACACUGCUCGACCCCUAUUCGUGGCAGCCGACAAGUACGAUAUCGUCGACUGAAACACGAGUGUGUCCGUUUUCUACUCACGCAGAUUCAAAUAAACAACGCAAUAGAUCACAUGGUUUGGGCGGACCACCACUCGGUUAAAGAUAUCAAAGAAACGGCUCUGGAACUCGUCGUUGCCAAUGGAAAAGCAAUUUGCCAAACAGUUGAAUGGGAGCAACUAACAAAGAACUAUCCGGAACUUUGCUUACUUGCUGUUCGGCGCAUGAUGCUUUAGUCAAGCUUGAGCUAAAUCUCAGCUUCUACAAAAUAAUUACAUUAAAAGAAAAUUCAAGCUUUCUCAAAUGUUACUCCAAGUAGAACCAUACAAAUGUAGCACGAGAUUUUAAAUAAAAGCAAAUAAAAAAAAACAUCCAAAUUUUGAAGAUGAAUUUUUUUUUUGUUGAGUAAAUCAACUGCGACAUAACAUUUUGUUUUGACGGUGGCCGUCACAUCGGCGGUCACAAGAAAAUGAAAUCGCCAUGUUAGUUGAAAAUCAACUCUUGCAGCACUAAGCUGCUCCAACGACGAACCCUGGCGGAAAGUGUAAGACACUAAUUUCCUUGAGUGGGUGUAGCGAAUAUGUGAUAAAAUUAAACAUGCGAAACACCAGUUGCAAUCGGCUCAACACUCGACCGAGCUGAUAUAAGGGGGUCAUGGUUCACGGAAAAAGUAACCGAGUUUUCUGAGCUUAUCUGAACAAUCUUCCGUAUUCAGAAACUAGCCAAAAAGUCAAAAUGCCCUGCAACUCCUCGUUUCCAGCUCUAAAGCCUCUCCCGGGAUCGAAGAAAUCAUUUCCAGACGUUUGCAGCCGUGUUAACAGUGGUCCACAUUCAUAACUCUUCCGUAUCUGAGCUGCUUUUCGAUCACGGUGCACCUCUUGCCAGUAAACGCUUCAAGCCCAAACCGGGUACUCAUCACGAUUCGUCUGCUGUUUCCGCUUGCCUCAACCAACAGACUUGCAAGCCUUCGAAAACAACAAACGUGAGGUCCAAAAUUCCAGCGAGGAAACCGAUUGUCAGCUGCGUUGAGAGUUCUAAACGCAAAUGGGACAGCGCUACUCUUUUCGAACCGAAGAAAGUGACUGUCGGCAUUUCUCCUUUGCCCGGCAGGAAGAAAACUUUGAACGAUUUCAUGGGCAAAAAAUUCCGGGCCACACCUGCUCCUUCCACCACUCACAAACCUUCGAUGCCGGUGGCGCCCAUCAACAAACUUCAGUCAGUCAGGGAUGUAAACAACAUUAUACAUUUGGAUCCGGCUGAAGAGGCUGAGUUGGAGGAGUUUGAGUUGACUGAAAGGGCAAUCCUUCAACAAGUGGAUGCCCAGAAAGAGAUGACCCCCUCUCGUUCCCUGAAGAAAAUUGGACCCGGAAAAGAAGAUGUUGUCUGCAAGGAAAGAUCUCUGGUGAAAAGUUUGGAAGACAUCAUUUUGAGGGAAGUUUCCAGGAGAAAGACGGCACUUUAAAGGUGCGAAAACGUGGAUCAAUCAAAAUUUCUUUGUCUGAUGUUGCUUGAAAUGUAAGUGACUUAUUUCUGUCGUCGAUUCAUUACACGAGAUUUCAAAUAAUUCAA